GCGGGCGUAGCUCAAUGGCAGAGCCUCAGUCUUCCAAACUGAUGGUGCCGGUUCGAUCCCGGUCGCCCGCU
rnacentral:tRNA from 1 species